ACGCACGCUGGCGGCGUGCUUAACCCAUGCAAGUCGAACGGAAAGGCCCUGCUUUUGUGGGGUGCUCGAGUGGCGAACGGGUGAGUAACACGUGAGUAACCUGCCCUUGACUUUGGGAUAACUUCAGGAAACUGGGGCUAAUACCGGAUAGGAGCUCCUGCUGCAUGGUGGGGGUUGGAAAGUUUCGGCGGUUGGGGAUGGACUCGCGGCUUAUCAGCUUGUUGGUGGGGUAGUGGCUUACCAAGGCUUUGACGGGUAGCCGGCCUGAGAGGGUGACCGGCCACAUUGGGACUGAGAUACGGCCCAGACUCCUACGGGAGGCAGCAGGGGGGAAUAUUGCACAAUGGGCGGAAGCCUGAUGCAGCAACGCCGCGUGCGGGAUGACGGCCUUCGGGUUGUAAACCGCUUUCGCCUGUGACGAAGCGUGAGUGACGGUAAUGGGUAAAGAAGCACCGGCUAACUACG
rnacentral:rRNA from 1 species